CAGUCAAGCCAUAUCACCCUGAAUACACCCAAUCUCGUCUGAUCUCAAAAGCUAAGCAGGUUCAGGCCUGGUUAGUACUUGGACAAAUCUUCAGAAAGACUGCUCAGAGACAAGCAGUUUGGAGGC
rnacentral:rRNA from 1 species